rnacentral:rRNA from 1 species
UGAGGAAUAUUGGUCAAUGGGCGGAAGCCUGAACCAGCCAAGUAGCGUGCAGGAUGACUGCCCUAUGGGUUGUAAACUGCUUUUAUGCGGGGAUAAUUGAGCCUACGUGUAGGUUUUUGCAGGUACCGCAUGAAUAAGGACCGGCUAAUUCCGUGCCAGCAGCCGCGGUAAUACGGAAGGUCCGGGCGUUAUCCGGAUUUAUUGGGUUUAAAGGGAGCGCAGGCGGCCUUUUAAGCGUGUUGUGAAAACCAGUCGCUCAACGACUGGCUUGCAGCGCGAACUGAAUGGCUUGAGUACGGACGAGGCAGGCGGAAUUCGUGGUGUAGCGGUGAAAUGCUUAGAUAUCACGAAGAACCCCGAUUGCGUAGGCAGCCUGCCAGGCCGUUACUGACGCUAAAGCUCGAAAGUGCGGGUAUCGAACAGG